GAUUUAAUAACUGGUUGAACCUCCUUUGGCAGCAAUAACUUCAACCAAACGGUUGAAGUUAUUGCUGCCAAAGGAGGUUCAACCAGUUAUUAAAUC